GAUGAACGCUGGCGGCGUGCCUAAUACAUGCAAGUCGAGCGAACGGACGAGAAGCUUGCUUCUCUGAUGUUAGCGGCGGACGGGUGAGUAACACGUGGAUAACCUACCUAUAAGACUGGGAUAACUUCGGGAAACCGUAGCUAAUACCGGAUAAUAUUUUGAACCGCAUGGUUCAAAAGUGAAAGACGGUCUUGCUGUCACUUAUAGAUGGAUCCGCGCUGCAUUAGCUAGUUGGUAAGGUAACGGCUUACCAAGGCAACGAUGCAUAGCCGACCUGAGAGGGUGAUCGGCCACACUGGAACUGAGACACGGUCCAGACUACUACGGGAGGCAGCAGUAGGGAAUCUUCCGCAAUGGGCGAAAGCAUGAAGGAGAAACGCCGCGUGAGUGAUGAAGGUCUUCGGAUCGUAAAACUCUGUUAUUAGGGAAGAACAUAUGUGUAAGUAACUGUGCACAUCUUGACGGUACCUAAUCAGAAAGCCACGGCUAACUACGUG
rnacentral:rRNA from 1 species